rnacentral:rRNA from 1 species
UGUUGGAGGGGAACACGUUCGCGGGGCUGAUGUGCACGCCCAAGGAAAAACCUCACAGCUAUAUGGGCUUUAUGGCUCGCGCAGAGGGAAAGGACAGCAAAGCUCUGCUGGAUGAGAUCAUCCAGAUAGCUGUCAAGAGACUCAGUUUGAGCGCUAGAGAAUGAGAUGCCAGCACCUCGGAUAGAGAUAGAACUCGACAAACUGGCACAUAAUGCCCGCAAGCUGACGGCGUUAUACGGCUCCAAGGGGAUCUGCGUCACCGCCGUCACAAAAGGGGU